rnacentral:rRNA from 1 species
GACGAACGCUGGCGGCGUGCUUAACACAUGCAAGUCGAACGGAAAGGCUCCAGCUUGCUGGAGUACUCGAGUGGCGAACGGGUGAGUAACACGUGGGUAAUCUGCCCUGCACUCUGGGAUAAGCCUGGGAAACUGGGUCUAAUACUGGAUAUGACCUUUCUCCUUAUGGGGUUUGGUGGAAAGUUUUUCGGUGUAGGAUGAGCCCGCGGCCUAUCAGCUUGUUGGUGGGGUGAUGGCCUACCAAGGCGACGACGGGUAGCCGGCCUGAGAGGGUGAUCGGCCACAUUGGGACUGAGAUACGGCCCAGACUCCUACGGGAGGCAGCAGUGGGGAAUAUUGCACAAUGGGCGGAAGCCUGAUGCAGCGACGCCGCGUGAGGGAUGACGGCCUUCGGGUUGUAAACCUCUUUCAGCAGGGACGAAGCGUAAGUGACGGUACCUGCAGAAGAAGCACCGGCUAACUACGUG